rnacentral:rRNA from 1 species
AUUGAACGCUGGCGGCAGGCCUAACACAUGCAAGUCGAGCGAGCGGAGGACGGGGGAGUAAGGUUGGGGAAACCGCCUGAUGGAGGGGGAUAACGACUGGAAACGGCAGCGAAUACCGUACACAAGGCGAUGUGCGCAGAUGGGAUUAGCUAGAGGGUGGGGUAACGGCUCACCUAGGCGACGAUCCCUAGCCGGCCUGAGAGGAUGACCAGCCACACUGGAACAGAGACCCGGUCCAGACUCCUACGGGAGGCAGCAGGGGGGAAUAUUGCGCAAUGGACGCAAGACUGAUGCAGCCAUGCCGCGUGAGUGAAGAAGGCCUUCGGUUUGUAAAGCACUUUCAGCGGGGAAGCGUUACCCAAAGAAAAAGCACCGGCUAACUCCGUGCCAGCAGCCGCGGUAAUAC